CAUAAUCACUUGCCCUUUAAUUCAGGGCUAGAAUGAACGGAUAAACGCAAAUCUCCCUUUAUUAAUUACACCCCUAAAAUCUAAAUCCCAGGUGAAGAUGCCUGGAUAUUUAUGAAAGACAAGAAGACCCUGUAGAGUUUUAAUUAUUUAUUAACUUCAACUUAUUGAUAAUUUUGAUUGGGGCGAUAAAGGAUUUUCUUCUACAUCCUUAAUAAAACCGACCAUACCUCUUACAAUCAUCCUACUCCUAGAAUUUAAAAUAAACUACCUCAGGGAUAACAGGCUUAUCUUCCUAAAGAGUCCAAAUUAACAGGAAGGUUUGGCACCUCGAUGUUGGCUUAGAGAAACCUAAUAAAGCAAAAAUUAUUCAGGUUAGUUUGUUCAACUAUUAAACCUCU
rnacentral:rRNA from 1 species